CCGACGCGGACAUCGCGUACCCAACGCGUGUCCCCAACAAGCCGUGUCGUUUCGUAUCGUUUUAAACACGACCGUCGGACUACAAGAACUGCAAGUGUAUGUAGUCCAAUGAACACCGACACGUUCCUCAUUGACGGCGCGAAAUAAUUCGUGCCCGUCGUUCGGCCAACAACCAACGUUAUCAAUCGCUCAUCAUAACUAUUAUUAUCGCACAUUUUUCUCAAACUUCGGCAUCAUUACAUUAUUUAUGAAUGUUUAUUAUUGUUUUGCCGUCGAUAUUUCACCGUGUCUACACUUUCUUCAGGGUUUUUUUUUUUCUAUUGUUCACAUACCUACUAUUUUUUUCUGUCAAAAUAGGCAUUGAAUAUAUAUUACCUAGACAGAAUCCAUUUUAUUAAUAUAGUUCACUUGUAUUAUACGAUUAACUGAUAAUAACAAUACCAAAACACACACACACACACACAUCAUUUUGCUCAAUUUUAAUUACUAAUAUAUUGCUGUUUUUAACAGUUACGUUCCACUGGUAGGUAGGUACCCAUUGGUUUUAAAAUCAACGGUACCAACGUGUAUUAAAAUAACUUGGUAUUGUACUUACUAGUACUAUUUUGAGAUUUUAUAACAGUUAAGUACAGUUGUGUGAAGUGUUUAAUAUAACAAACUUUUAGCAUAAAGUGCAUAUCUGUUCAUAAAAAAAAAAAUGUACAUUUUACGUUUACAUAACAUUAGAUAUUAAUUACGUUCACAAAGUCCAUAUUGAAUUUUAAUUUUAAAUUAAUUUAUUAAAAAAUGAAAAUUUGAAUAAUAAUUUAAUUUAUUAUUAAAAUGAAAACACGAAAAUAACGUUAACAGCUAUAACCAGCACGUCCAAAAGUUGAAUUUAUUUAGCUCUGCGGUAUCCGCGGUAACGUUUUCGUAGACACGAUCAAAAUGUGUCUACCGUGAUGAUAUGAGCCAACCAGAAAAGAGUAUUUAACACGAAACGACACCGAGAGUUGAGGACUCCCCUUAUAACUCACGG